rnacentral:lncRNA from 1 species
GGAAGGAGGGUAGCGUCCAGUGGAGGAUCUGCAGGCACCAGCAUGUUAAGCACUGCUACCUUGUAGAACCUACUUUCUGCUGGGUUAACAGGAGAGGAAACAAGCAUGGGGGAGGAUACAGCUCCUGGUGGUUUUUAAAGAAGAGUGCGUUUAAACUCAGAGUGUGCCUGAACAGCUGGGCUGGAAAAUUGCUUGUUUAGCUCUGCAGUUUGUGUCAGGGACUCACUGGCUGAGAGAGAAUAAAAGCAGCUUGAUUUUGCAAACUGUCAGUAUUAUGAACCAAGGCAAAGACCUCUAGGGAGCAGGGACUCACGCGACUUCUUUUCCUCAUUCCUACACAGCAGAGGGAAUGACAGGACCAAGCUCAAGAACAAUUGCCCAGGGGUCUGAGCUGUUAGCACUACAGGCAUUGAUUAGUGUCUACGGUUUUCAUGUUCCCGGCUCUGCCUUCAAGGAAUCACAGCCCCAGAAUUCCUGAAUCUCAGAUCCAGAAGGGACCGGAGAUGGCACAGGAAUCCCUGCUUUAGCUCCUGUGACAGCUCCUGGCCUGUGCGGAGCCCGGUGCCCCAGGGAAUGCUUACUACUCCUCUGCCCAGCCUGCUCACUGUUUGCCAGCAUAGACUGGUGGUAAAUUCCAUCUUGUGUGAGCUGAAACCUGUCUCCCUUUCAUCAACCAGCAGAGUGGGCAUGUACCACAGCACCUUAGAUGAGAAUGGCCCCUCAGAGAUCCCAUGAGUCGGACUACCCAAAUUCACCUGCAAGCAUUUUUCUCUGGGUCUACCUAGUGUUUCAAAACUUUUCUUUUGAUCCAAUAUUGACAACAGAGAGAUUUCCUAGAAAAAUCUAGCCUUGUGGAUUUUCUUGGUAUAUUGGAAAGGCUGGCAACCACGACCCACACUACCAUCUGAAAAGACCUGGCCGGAGUUGGGUGUUGGUUAUCCCAUUGUUAUGGGCAUGGAUCUCCAGUUUACUCUCACCUCCUGCACUCCCUACUGUCCCCAUUCCAGCAGCUCUCCUCUGAGAUCGCACUGGUCUCUGUAGCUUAUGAGUUUGUGAGACCAGACCUUGUUCAUCCUCCAAGUUUUACCAGUUGCCAUGUGCCAGGAUCCUCCUUGGCCUAUGGUUCAUUCCCUUCCUUUAUAAUUUAACCUCUUCCCUUCCAGAGCCACACUCACCCCAAGGGAUUUCCUUCCUCUUGUCCUGCUCCUAUUUCCAUCUUGUGGAGUAUCAAUGCAGCCCAGAUUACUGCCAUGGCCUCACUGUUAUCCCUGCUCUAAACAGCACUCCAGUCUACUCUCACCAAUGCAGCCAGAAGGAUCUUUCAAAAAUGCCAAUGAGAUGAUGUCACUCUCCUGCUUAAGACCUUUGUAGCUCUCCACUACCUUCAGGAUAACAUUCAAACCUACUAGGUUAGCAUAUCACACUUUCAACACCCAGGCCCCUUCCCACUCCAGCACCAUCUCUCAUCACUUUUCCAAGCACAUCAUUUGCUCCAGGCACAACAAACACUUAAGAGUUCCCCCCAAAAGCCAUUCUCUCUCCUUUAGUUCUUUCAGCUACUGUUUCCUUGGCUCAUGUGGAAACCGUCUUAAGUAUCUAACUCCAUUGUCUGGCCAUAGGCAACUUGAGAGCAGCUUCCUUACUGUUGUAUUCUCAGUAUCAACCAGUCUCUGGCUCAUAUUAACAUUUAAUAAGUAUUUAUUUGUUAAAGCAAACCAAAUAUGGCCUGAGAAGGACUCCAUACUUACAUAUUUGAGUCCCUGUGGAUGAACUGUAACCUAGCUUAAUAGGCAGACAAGAUUGAAAACCUAAUUUACGAGUAUGUGCCUGUAACAAUAGCUGAGUCUUGGCCAAUCCCAGCAGCCAUACUUCAACCACUCAUACACUGCUGAGUGUUCAAACUGUGUUCAAAUAAGGCAAACGCCCACCUGUAACCAAUCCAGCCAGCUGUUUCUGUACUUCACUGCCUAUUUAUUUACGUCACUUCCCUCUUUUUGUCUAUAAAUUUGUUCUGACCAUGAGGCAUCCCUGGAGUCUCUCUGAAUCUGCUGUGAUUCUGGAGACUGCCCAAUUCGUGAAUCGUUCAUUGCUCUAUUAAACUCCUCUAAAUUUAAUUCGGCUGAAGUUUUUAACAAAUUGAUUGAAUGUA